rnacentral:rRNA from 1 species
AUUGAACGCUGGCGGCAUGCUUUACACAUGCAAGUCGAACGGUAACAGGGAGCUUGCUCCGCUGACGAGUGGCGAACGGGUGAGUAAUAUAUCGGAACGUACCCAAGAGUGGGGGAUAACGUAGCGAAAGUUACGCUAAUACCGCAUACGAUCUAUGGAUGAAAGCAGGGGACCUUCGGGCCUUGUGCUCCUGGAGCGGCCGAUAUCUGAUUAGCUGGUUGGUGAGGGAAAGGCUCACCAAGGCGACGAUCAGUAGCUGGUCUGAGAGGACGUGCAGCCACACUGGAACUGAGACACGGUCUAGACUCCUACGGGAGGCUGCAGUGGGGAAUUUUGGACAAUGGGCGAAAGCCUGAGCCAGCAAUGCCGCGUGAGUGAAGAAGGCCUUCGGGUUGUAAAGCUCUUUUGUCAGGGAAGAAACGGCUGUGGCUAAUAUCCACGGCUAAUGACGGUACCUGAAGAAUAAGCACCGGCUAACUACGUGCCAGCAGCCGCAGUAA